UCAGGACGAACGCNGGCGGCGUGCUUAACACAUGCAAGUUGAACGGGCAGAUAUGGAAGCUUGCUGAAGUAUCUGUUAGUAGCGGACGGGUGAGUAAUGCAUGAGGAGCUGUCAUAGGGAGGGGGACAACAGUUGGAAACGGCUGCUAAUACCCCGUAUGCCGGAAGGUGAAAGGGAGCGAUCCGCCCGAUGAGGUACUCAUGUCCUAUCAGCUGGUUGGUGGGGUAACGGCCUACCAAGGCGACGACGGGUAGCCGGCCUGAGAGGGUGAACGGCCACACUGGAACUGAGAUACGGUCCAGACUCCUACGGGAGGCAGCAGUGGGGAAUAUUGGGCAAUGGGGGGAACCCUGACCCAGCGACGCCGCGUGAGGGAAGACGGCCUUCGGGUUGUAAACCUCUUUUGUACGGGAAGAAGGAAGUGACGGUACUGUACGAAUAAGUCCCGGCUAACUACGUGCCAGCAGCCGCGGUAAUACGUAGGGGACGAGCGUUGUCCGGAAUUACUGGGCGUAAAGGGCGCGUAGGCUGUGCUGCAAGUCAGCUGUGAAAUAUCUGGGCUUAACCUGGAUAUGCGGAUGAGACUGCAGUGCUGGAGUGCUGUAGAGGCAAGUGGAAUUCCCAGUGUAGCGGUGAAAUGCGUAGAUAUUGGGAAGAACACCGGUGGCGAAGGCGACUUGCUGGGCAGCAACUGACGCUGAGGCGCGAAAGCCAGGGGAGCGAACGGGAUUAGAUACCCCGGUAGUCCUGGCCGUAAACGAUGAAUGCUAGGUGUGGGUGUAGAGAUACAUUCGUGCCGGAGUUAACGCGAUAAGCAUUCCGCCUGGGGGAGUACGGUCGCAAGAUUGA
rnacentral:rRNA from 1 species